AUCCACUGUUGACUCCUGUUGUCGCUUUUUUUUCUUUUUUUUUUUUUGAGGCACAUUCCUUGCCAAUCAGCUUUUAAACCACCAUAUUAUCUUCUUCUGCAAACAAGGGGUACCAGUGUUGCUUAACAGAAGAUAAUCUUUAAUAAAAGAAAUCCUCUGCUUCAAAGGCUUUUGAAAUAAUUGGAUCCCUUUUUGGAAACAAAGAUGAAUUGGACUGUGGCUCUGUGGGACCGUGAUGCUGCCGUGCCUGAAUAGACGACAUAAAGCCAGUGGGCCACCUUGGUCUUCCAUCAGUUUUUCAUAUGUGCAGGCCCAGCUCCCGGGUCCCCUCUCCUGUCUCAUGCAUCGUUAGGCCCUGAAACCGGUACCACAUGUCUCCAUUACUAUGGAGCUGGAUAAGCCUUAGUAUCCAGUGAGGUUCCUCAUCUCUAAAACGUACACGCUGACAGAACCCACCGCACAGAGCUGUGAGGCUAAACUUCGGCUCAUACACCUGAGGCCCCGAGGGCAGGACUAGCACGCAGCAAGCAUUCCCGGUGUUUGAGUUCGUGUCACUUACACUCUGUAGCCUACCAGUUCUGCUCCUGGACUCCGGUGUGGAAGAAAACCUGGAGAUUCACUGAGUUUCUUGCAUCUUAAGCAAUUAAUAAUAAACACGGUCAGUCAAUCGAUGAACCUCUGACAACCACCAGCUGGUGGCAGGAGGCCUGCAUUAAAGUGACUUCCUAGAGGCCCGUCCUCGUGUCUGACCGUGACUGGAGGCUCUGGUCCCAGGUGAUUUGGAUGCUUUGUGUGCAGACCACACUGAGAACUCCUGGACGUUAGAAAACUGGACCAGAAAGAAGCAUCGGAGGAGCUCCUGGGCUGUGAGUGUGCAGCUUCAUCCGUGACUGUGACCGGGUGCCAUCAGGAACCAGAUUCUAUGUGCUGGCUGAUGGGGGGCCAAGGAAGGAGAAGAGAAAAAAAGGAAGAGAAAAGAAAAUCGAAAUCGAGAAAAGGGAGAGGAGAGAGACAAAGGGAUAGAAAGAACGAAGAAGAAAGAAAAAACCGGCAGGCCACCUUUAAGACUUAUGUGCACUGAGGCAUCUCACCCACCACCCUGGGGCAAAACGUGCUACUAUGGUAUCCAGUAAACAGGCUGCCAAACAAAGCCAAGAGUCUUGCUCGAAUCAAAUCAAGUUCUCUUUUGUGCUUGUUGUUCUUCCCUGCGCUGUGGAAUUGCUGUCAAAAAUAUAACCCACGGCACGUCUCCGGAGCUGAAGAAAAGCAGCCCCUUGAACCUUUGCCAGUGACUUCCUUGGCAACACCGUGGUUCUCCAUUUGAUGGGUAGCAAGUCGGUCUAGGAAGAAGUCUUUACUGGAAUCUGUGUACUUGGGGACAUCCAGUAAAAACCACUGUGUGCUGAACCCCUGCUCUAUGCCAGGUUCCUGACCAGGGCUCUCACAGUCUCGUGGGAACAUGAGAAGAAGCACGAAGAAGCUGGGAACGACCGAGUGCCUGGAUCGUGGAGACGACCACAUGUGAUGGUGCCUGCACGUCCCUGAACACAAUCGCUGGCCCACAGGAAGUGGCCAGCAGCUGUUUGCGGGGUUGUAACCUAUGUCAAAGCACAAUAAGCACUGAGGGAGGGCACCACGUCAAGUCAUGAAGGGAAUCCAUCGUUCUGCCUCAGCGCCAUGGCUUGUUUAGGAGGAGGUGACCGGACUGGGACCUAUUUCAGCACUGACGUUAGUCCCAAGUCGGAGGGGGCAAGAAGACACAGGAGUUAUGUGAUGCUUGGGUUUCCUAAGCCUGGCUGACAAUAACAAGGGCUCGACAUGAUCCUCUAACAGCAUUUAGUUGCUUUCUUCCCUCAGAGCAAACCUGUGAAGGAAUCUCACAUGCCCAGGUCCCUCCUGGCAGACACACCUGGCUCAGAAGUGGGUUCUUUUGCGCAAAAGGGCUUCUGCAAGCUACCUAGUCAACCACCCUGGAGCGGUUCCCAGGAAAGCGGUGUGAUGCCGGCGAUGGCAGGCUUGCAUGGGCACAGAGCUUCAGGAAAAGCACACUCUCGGCUUUCCAGGAAAGGAACGCUUGGCCCCUUAGAGAAGAAUCCAAAAGCAGAGAGUUGAGGCAGCUGAAGCGCACAUGCCAGCCAGAAGGCCCAGGGUGGGAACAGGCACCUGGGCAGGACUUCCGAUUGUCGGGGGCAUGGCGUGACUCGGUGCCUGCUUCUCAGCCUUCCCCUUCACUCUCAGCAGCCCCCUGCUGGAGAGGAGCACAGUGUCCUGCCACCAUCAGGAAGACUGGCUUUUGUAUUUUAUUUUACAAUAAUUGUCAAGAAGAAUUUUUAUGUGACGUUUAGAAGUAAAUAGUGUUUGUGAUGGGGCACUGCUUUGAGAGCAUGAGAAACAGUGCUGGGGAUACUCUGCCAGCCCUGUCCCUCGUCACUGUGCUUGGCGACCCACAGCUCCCCUGGCCAGAGGGGCGCAGAGGCCUCCAGGGGGCUGGUUCUUUUUCGUGCAGAUUCCUGAGGCCAACUCACUUGCAUCUGCCCACUUUUCUGUUCAUCUUCCACCACCUCUUUUCCCAACAAGAAUUGAUGGAGCUGAAGGCAGGACCGAGUUUUAAACACCCUGAGACGGUGUCACCUUUGGGCCUUAAGGGACCCUCUAAAAGCCCCGAGAGCAGCUCUUCUCUCUGCUGCCCUGAACGUUUUCCCCGCAGUUUAGAUUUCUCAUUCAAGUCACCAUUCCCAGACCUGCUGACAACUCAGUGUGGUCACAGAGUGGCUCUGGCUGGGAGCAGUCAGCAGGCGGCCGAGCCUGGGGCCUGCUGCUGACACCUUGGAGCCGUCCCAGAGGCCUAGGGACCCAUUCACACUGUGGGAUUGGUUUCUCCCACCCCGACCGACCGAGGGGACAGCAGGCCAAAACUACUGCCACGUAGAGGAAGCUCCAGCGCUCCUGAGGGGUUCUCCAUUCCCUGUGUCAGCAGCAGACCCUGCCCUUGCUGUCCUCACCUCACCACCUCACCCCACCCCACCCCAUCCCACCCCACCUCACCAUGCAAGGAAGCUCUGUAGAGCUUUGCCUCUAAUUUCAAAGACACCAUCACCUUCCACUGGGUCCCACAAGGACUAUUCUUAAAGCACUAAACGUACCCUGGGUGAUCAGUCUGCAGAAGUUUAGAGAGGGCCCAGCCCCGCACCAGGCUCUCCUGACUCAGAAGUGAGAGAAUCCACAGGCCCAUCUCAAGGGCCUCAAGCUGUAAGGGAGAGAAUGGAGAGGAGCAUGGAGGGGAGGACCCCACAGGAUAGACUCCUUUUCCUCGUGGAUUCAUGGUGCUGUAGAUGCUGGCAGCAGCUCUGGAGUGGAGUCUCCCCAGGAGAUGACAUUGGAGUUGAAUUUUGAAAAAUGGAAAGGCGCCAGGGGAAAGGGGGAAGCAUGGGCAGGUCAGGAGACAAGAAUUGUGAAUCCUUUGGCAUUUCUGGAGUGUGAAAAGCAGGAAGCGACAAGCACUGAGGCUGAAGAGAGGGCAGGAGCCUGGUCAGAAAUGGCCCCACAUGCAUGGCGUGGGGGCAUACGGGUAACAGUAGCUGUGGGGAGGCCCAGUGAGUUGCUCGUGUGUAAUGUUUGUGCCAGUUUCCGUGGUGCAAAAGUCUCCCACUGCAGCAGAUUUCAAUCUAUCAAUGGUUUAAUAAUGAACUCAACAAAAAUUCCUGAAAAUGUAACAAUCAGCUUGCAAGCUGGUAAAGGCUGCCUCCAACACACUGCUGCAUCACGUGUCAUAUAAAACCCCUACUUUCCCUCCCCCAUUUCCUGUCACAGAAUUCCUAUGCAGGUUUUUUUUUUGGAGGGGAGGGUCACAUUAAUUAAGUGACUUCAGGCCACUGCCACAAGGCUGUCAGUCUCACCUCUCCCUGCCCACAGCUGUUCCUUCGUUCUACCCGUGAUCAACACAGGCAUGGAGUUCAGUCACUUCCUCAAAUUCCCCCAAAACCACUCACAUACAUACUGUGUUUCCCCGAAAAUAAGACCUAGCCGGACAAUCAGCUCUAAUGUGUCUUUUGGAGCAAAAAUCAAUAUAA